GGGAGGUAGCUCAGUGGUAGAGCGCUUGUCUAGCAUGUACAAGGCCCUGGGUACAAUCCCCAGGAACCUCCCC
rnacentral:tRNA from 1 species